GAUGAAGAACGUAGCGAAAUGCGAUACGUAAUGUGAAUUGCAAAUUCAGUGAAUCAUCGAGUCUUUGAACGCACAUUGCGCCCCCUGGUAUUCCGGGGGGCAUGCCUGUCCGAGCGUCAUUGCUGCCCUCAAGCACGGCUUGUGUGUUGGGCCCCGUCCUCCGAUCCCGGGGGACGGGCCCGAAAGGCAGCGGCGGCACCGCGUCCGGUCCUCGAGCGUAUGGGGCUUUGUCACCCGCUCUGUAGGCCCGGCCGGCGCUUGCCGAUCAACCCAAAUUUUUAUCCAGGUUGACCUCGGAUCAGGUAGGGAUACCCGCUGAACUUAAGCAUAUCAAUAAGCGGAGGG
rnacentral:misc_RNA from 1 species